GUGUGGCGUGAAUUUUGUCAGACCCGUGAGAAACGUAAGACUUUACGUUCUGCGCAUGCGCAGGUAGUUGUCGGACCGGGCCGUGAGAAAUGUAAGACUUUCUGGUACAAUUGUGUGUUAACCUCGUUUAGAAGCUCAUCAAUUAAUCUAAGUGCAGUUCUUCCUUUUAUUCAUGAGCAUAGAGAUAUUUUCUACGAUACCAACUUUUAUUUUUCUGUGACAACGUAUCGUGUGGAUGAAAUAUUGUCCAAAUCAGUGGCAGUCUUUCGACAUCGUUCGUUCCCGAUGUCGAGUUGAUGGAAAAUCCUGGAAAAUCGAAGAGCUUUGAUCGAGUGAGAACAAUCCAGUGUUACAAAAAGGUGUCAUUUUCGGAUAGCUGAGAUUACAAUUAACAAAUAUUUCACUUCUGGAUAAAUGUAGUGACAUCAAUACAGAAACAGCAGAUUAUAGGCAAAGGAAAGCUAUUUCUGGAUCUUUCGCAAAAUACAUGAUGUACAAAUAUUCUGCAAGAAACAUCAACCUGACAAAAAGGAAGUGGUGUAGAUCUGUUGGUAUAUCUGCAUAUUGUUGGUGAUACAAAAUGUGUAAUAUGAAAACAUUGAAGAAAGACUUGACAAAUGCAAAUAUGUGAUGCAAGAAUUCAGUAUAAGUAAAAUUACCAGAUUUUCAUUUCAAAUGAAAAAGAAUUGUAGCCCACAGGAUCAGUCCUCAUCUUUAGUCAGUGGUCAGGCUUAAAAAGUAUUUUUUUCCAGAAGACACAAGUGCAAGUAAAAAAGGCACAUUUCACUUUUUCCACUUGAAUUAUGUUGGAUUAAAUUAAGAGUUAUCAAAAAGUAUGGAAAAUAUAGUUAAUUUGGCAAUUAAUGUUUAAGAGUGCCAAAAUGACAGGAAAAUGUAUCUUUUCCUUAUUUUGUCAAUAUUGAAUUGUAUGAUACUUUGGAUGAAAUGACAAUAAAACUGUCAGUGAAAGUAAAUUAAGAGAAUUUUGAUAAUAAACAGACCAAUUAAAGUGAACUAAAUGUGGUAAAGAAGACAUUAUGGAGUUAACAAGGAGAUACCAAAAGUGUAAAUGAAUGUACUAACAAUAAAUUACAUCUAUAUUAUUUCAUAGACUCUGUGAAAGGAUUAUAGUCAGAUCUGAAUAGGAAUCAUAAGAUUAUAACAUGUUAUAACUGAAAGAAAGCUGAGAAACACCCAUCAUGGGGAAAAGUGUAUUUGACAUUUACAUUCAUAUUAUCAAUUGUUAGAAACGCUCAAGUAUUGACAUGUAACACCUUAGUAGGUAAUCUUCUAUUUAACUUGGUUAACCUUCAGUCCUUUAUCUUCAUGAUUUAUCAUGAGGGGAUCCAGGCAGAUAAUUCAGUGAUAGACUAUAGCUUCAUUAUUUUUUUUCCUAUUUUGUUAAUAUCUAUUCCAUAAUAUUGAAAUAAAACAAUAAUUAUAGGACCUUA